rnacentral:rRNA from 1 species
CGGCAAGAGCUCAAAUUUGAAAGCUGGCUCCUUCGGGGUCCGCAUUGUAAUUUGCAGAGGAUGCUUCGGGAGCGGUCCCCAUCUAAGUGCCCUGGAACGGGACGCCAUAGAGGGUGAGAGCCCCGUCUGG